UCUUGAAGCAGCAGUUCUGCUUCUGUUCACAUUUCAACGACGACAUUAACUGCAGCGGACCAGCUGGAAAACACAUUUGGUUCCAGUCAACAUGUUUCUUCUUUUGAGAGUUUUCUUCCUCCCAGCUGUUUUGGUUCAUUGUGCCGGUGAAGAAACUGAUCUCUUCAUCACUGCACCGAGGAGUCUGGAAGCAGUGAAUGGAUCCUGUUUGAUUAUCCCCUGUAGCUUCACACCUGCUUCAAGGAAAGAGAGACAGUUUGACAACAGAAGAAAAAUAUUUGCAGUGUGGAUUAAAGAUGAUGUACCUUUUCAGAAUCAUCCAGAAAGAAUAGUUUUUAACAGCAGUGAUGCAGUUAACUACCCUGAUAUCAGCAUCAUUGGAGACCUGAAACAAAGAGACUGCACCACCAAGUUUGAGAGAUUCAAACUUGAAAAAUCCACAAAGUUCUUUUUUCGAAUUGAGAAUGAAUCAUUCAAGGCAACAGCUGCUUUAGACCCCGUUGAGAUUAAACUGACAGGUUCUCCUCCGAGGCCCAGAUUAGAAGUCUCAGCUGAUCUGAAGGACCUGAAGGAGAAGGAGUCUGUCACUGUAACCUGCUCAGCUCUCACUCCCUGUUCACACUCCCCUCCUCAACUCACCUGGAGCCUCCAACAAGACGCUCACAGCCAAACUGAGGAAAACACAGAUGGAACCUUCAGCACUCAGAUCCAGAAGACCCUCACUCUGUCAGACACACAUGAUGGAUUCAACCUCAGCUGCUCUGCUGUGUAUCCUGUUGCUGGAGGAGAACCUGUGAAAACACCUGAGACAGAGUUAACUCUCAGGGUUUCAUAUGCUCCUAAAGACACCACAGUCUCCAUCAGUCCAUCAGGGAGCUGGGUGACCCUGACCUGCUCCAGCAGAGCCAAACCUGCCGUCAGCAGCUUCACCUGGUUCAAGAACAGUGACCAUGGACCCAUCAAAGUGUCUAAAGGAGACUUUUACACCUUUAAUGUGGCUGACACAGCAAAUCCAGAAAGUUUUUACUGUGUGGCUGAAAAUUCUCUCGGUAAUCAGACGUCAUCGUGGAUUCGUGUGAACAAAGCAGGUAAAUUUAAUCUUUUUACAAUUUUCGUACAAUUGUUUGUAUUUAUAUUAAUAUGUGUGUUGAUGAUCUCUUUCCUCUCAUCCCUAUUUAAUGUGGAUAUUUUAUGGAAAAUCUUUUCAGAAACUCUUUUACAAACCCAUUUGACAGCCAUGAUAUCACCAUCACUGGAAACCUGAGGGAAAACAAACUGCAAUUCGUGUUUUCUGGUGUCGUCUUUCCUUUGAAAAGCACAAACUACUUCUUCAAAAUCAUCUGUGUUUUAGGCUCCAUGAAGUGACCUUCACUAACGGAUUAAACUGAGUCUCUGGCUGGAUUAUCGGAGAUGUUGAAGCAGUUUGUCACCAGACUGUUUUUAAUUCAUGUUGCUUUUGGAUCCUGCAAAGACUGGGAAUUAUUGUCAAAGUUAGAGAAAACUCUCACGUGUUUCUCUGCAGGUGAACUGAGGAUUGAACUCGUCCUCAAAACACUGAUGAUCCUUCAGGUUGUAUCUCUCUACUGUACAAUCAUCAUCUUUGAGUGCUGGUUCAGAUGGAGACAUUGCCGCAAACAAGUGAAGGACUCACCAGAAACAGAUGACGUCAAU